UACGUAGGGACCAAGCGUUGUUCGGAUUUACUGGGCGUAAAGGGCGCGUAGGCGGUGCGGUAAGUCACUUGUGAAAUCUCUGAGCUUAACUCAGAACGGCCAAGUGAUACUGCAGUACUAGAGUGCGGAAGGGGCAAUCGGAAUUCUUGGUGUAGCGGUGAAAUGCGUAGAUAUCAAGAGGAACACCUGAGGUGAAGACGGGUUGCUGGGCCGACACUGACGUGAUGCGCGAAAGCCAGGGGAGCAAACGGG
rnacentral:rRNA from 1 species